rnacentral:tRNA from 1 species
UUUAAUUGAAACCAAAGAAGAGGUUUAUUACUGUUAAUAAUAAUAUUGAAAAAAAAAUUCCAAUUAAAA